GACGGGGCCGCACAAGCAGCGGAGCGUGUGGUUUAAUUCGAUGAUACACGAAGAACCUUACCCAGGCUUGACAUGUUGGUAGUAGGGAUCCGAAAGGUGACCGACCCUUCGGGAGCCUUCACAGGUGCUGCAUGGCUGUCGUCAGCUCGUGUCGUGAGAUGUCCGGUUAAGUCCGGUAACGAGCGCAACCCUCGCUGUGUGUUAUAUGUGUCACACGGGAUUGCCGGUAUCAAGCCGGAGGAAGGUGGGGAUGACGUCAAGUCAGCAUGGCCUUUAUGUCUGGGGCUACACACACGCUACAAUGGCCAGUACAAUAGGUUGCAAGACCGCGAGGUGGAGCCAAUCCUUAAAGCUGGUCUCAGUUCGGAUUGCAGGCUGCAACUCGCCUGCAUGAAGUCGGAGUUGCUAGUAACCGCGCGUCAGCUAUAGUGCGGUGAAUACGUUCCCGGGCCCU
rnacentral:rRNA from 1 species